UACGUAGGCAGCGAGCGUUGUUCGGAGUUACUGGGCGUAAAGCGUGCGUAGGCGGUGGUCCAAGUCUGGUGUGAAAUCUCCCGGCUUAACUGGGAGGGUGCGCCGGAAACUGGGCCGCUGGAGUACGGGAGAGGCAAGCGGAAUUCCAGGUGUAGCGGUGAAAUGCGUAGAUAUCAUUUGGAACGCCAAUGGUGAAAACAGGUAGCUGGGAGUGUGCUGACACUGAGACACGAAAGCCAGGGGAGCGAACGGG
rnacentral:rRNA from 1 species